GAAAAUUUCAGUGAGUAUGCAGAGAAUCAGGGCUCAGUAGCCAAUAAGAUCAGUGGAUUUCAAAUGUUCAGGCGGGUUUUCUAAUUUUCUUGAUGUAAACAUGGCAGCCAUGGUGAUUUAACCUUCUGAAGAUUCCUAUUGUUUUGCUGGAUAUAAUCAGGAUCUCUCAUGGUUUGAAGAUGGCUUUUUAUUCAAUGGCGAGGGAGAAAACAAGAUCUGAAAGUAACAGUUGGAGCAUAUAAAGCAGACCUUACCCUCAUAGAUUGUGUGACGCCAUAGUUGCUGGAAGAAUACAUUUGGAUCUGACUGGGAAAAAAGGCAUCAUCAAUCCAGCAAGUUGAGUCUGUGUUAAUAACCAUGGACAUAAAACUCACAGACGAUUCCAAAAACACUUUAACUUUUCUUUGUAGACUUAGUGUCUCUUCAUUUCAUGAUAAAUUUAUAUUGCAGAUUAUAUCAUUAUAAUCAGUUUAUUGAUUUUAAAAUCACAAAAAAAUAAAAUCAUGCAAAUGUAAAUAAAGUAUAUAAUAUAAUAAAUAAUAUGAAAGAAAAUUAUAUUAUUUUAUCUAAACAAGAGUUGAAAAAGUUUAAGCAGGCAUGUAGUGAAAAGCAAUAAAUUGAGUUCUAGCAAUGUUGUAAAUUCCAGUUACAUUAAAUAUUACGUGCCAUUUUACGGUCAGAUUUUUGAAAAAUUCCUGUUCCAAAAUUCCGGUUAAUUUAAAUAUUACGUCCACUUUUACGGUCAGAUUCCGUCCGUUUAGCACACGUAAAUUCUAUCUUAAUUUUACGUACGGAAAUUUUUACGCACAGA